rnacentral:rRNA from 1 species
UACGGGGGGGGCAAGCGUUGUUCGGAAUUACUGGGCGUAAAGGGCUAGUAGGUGGCCAACUAAGUCAGACGUGAAAUCCCUCAGCUUAACUGGGGAACUGCGUCUGAUACUGGAUGGCUUGAGUUUGGGAGAGGGAUGCGGAAUUCCAGGUGUAGCGGUGAAAUGCGUAGAUAUCUGGAGGAACACCGGUGGCGAAGGCGGCAUCCUGGACCAAUACUGACACUGAGGAGCGAAAGCCAGGGGAGCAAACGGG